UAGGGAAUAUUAGAAAUGGACGAAAGUCUGAUCUAGCAACACCGCGUGUGCGAAGAAGGCCUUCGGGUUGUAAAGCACUUUUUGGAAGGAUUAGGAAGGAAUGUACUUCCAGAAUAAGUCUCGGCUAACUACGUGCCAGCAGCCGCGGUAACACGUAGGAGGCAGACGUUAUCCGGAUUUACUGGGCGUAAAGCGCGUGUAGGUGGUUCUGUAAGUAGGGCGUGAAAGCUCCUGGCUCAACUGGGAGAGGCCGUUCUAAACUGCAGAGCUAGAGGAUGGUAGAGGGAGGUGGAAUUCCGGGUGUAGCGGUGGAAUGCGCAGAUAUCCGGAGGAACACCAGUGGCGAAAGCGGCCUCCUGGACCAUUCCUGACGCUAAGACGCGAAAGCUAGGGUAGCAAACG
rnacentral:rRNA from 1 species